rnacentral:lncRNA from 1 species
UUCUGAUUAAAGGCAUGAGGCUGUGCGCAGAAACAUUUCAUGCAGCACGUUGGUUGGAGCAAAAGAGAAAAACAAAAGAAAGAGGAAAAAAACAAAACAAAAAACAACAGUCCAAAAUUCGUAAACCAAUAAAGGGUUUGCCAUCGCCUGAAAGGUUUUUUGUUUUGUUUUUGUUUUUUCCUUAAUCGCCAAACCACAAGGUGAGGCUUUGUAACACCAACCAACUAAGAACUCCAACUCGGCUCGUCCUGGUCUUCCUGUCGUACUCGUGAUUUUAAUUGCUCCUUCUUAGUGCCUGUUUUGGGGUGUGGAGUGCCGUCCUGUGCGCCCAACGCAGCCGCUUGGAUGCCAUCUGAACGGAAGGUCUCUUCGCCUUGCAGGCCUUGCCCAUUCCUACAGUCAGAACUAGGAGGCCUUGCUGGCCCUAGGUGAUUGGAAUUUGUUGGUGACACCAAUCAUGCCAUCAGCCAGGAAUGGGCCACCAUGGAGCGCAUGCCACUUGCUGACAGAGAGCAAGGGACUUAAUCGCCUCUAGUUACUGGGUGUUAAUGAAAAAACAAAACAAACAGAAAACCAAACAGCAUAUUAUGCCGGUAACAGAAUUAGAGUUGGAUGGCUGCGGUCUCCUAAAUGUGUCG